rnacentral:rRNA from 1 species
UGGGGAAUAUUGCACAAUGGGCGCAAGCCUGAUGCAGCCAUGCCGCGUGUAUGAAGAAGGCCUUCGGGUUGUAAAGUACUUUCAGCGGGGAGGAAGGGAGUAAAGUUAAUACCUUUGCUCAUUGACGUUACCCGCAGAAGAAGCACCGGCUAACUCCGUGCCAGCAGCCGCGGUAAUACGGAGGGUGCAAGCGUUAAUCGGAAUUACUGGGCGUAAAGCGCACGCAGGCGGUUUGUUAAGUCAGAUGUGAAAUCCUCGGGCGCAACCUGGGAACUGCAUCUGAUACUGGCAAGCUUGAGUCUCGUAGAGGGGGGUAGAAUUCCAGGUGUAGCGGUGAAAUGCGUAGAGAUCUGGAGGAAUACCGGUGGCGAAGGCGGCCCCCUGGACGAAGACUGACGCUCAGGUGCGAAAGCGUGGGGAGCAAACAGG